rnacentral:lncRNA from 1 species
UUUUUUCAAAUCUCAGUUUUAUUCUCAUUCCAGCAUCCUAAUGCUUUCCCUUUGGAUUUUUUUUUCUAAUCUUGAGAAGUUUGUGUUUUCAGUGUAGUAAUAACAAUAAUAGUGUUCUUAGCACACGCGUUACGCCAAGGGCUUUUAAAAGAUACUUUUCAUAAACCAACUCACUUAAUUCUCACAACAACUUUUGAAGUAGUCCACUUUCUAAUCCUCAUUUUACAGAUAAGGAAACUGAGGCACACAAGGUCAGCUAACCUGCCCGAGGUCUCUAGCUAGUGACUGGAAGAGGUGUUCUCUGGAUAUUAUUUGAAUCUCAGUCUCGCUAUAUUUCUUCGUCAUGACUGUAACUUUCCCCCUGUAUUUCUAAAUAUUUUAAUCUCUUGAUCAUAUAGCAUACGUUGAUUUAAUAAAUCACUUUUACAUGCA